CAAGGAAUUUUCCGCAAUGGGCGAAAGCCUGACGGAGCAACGCCGCGUGCAGGAUGACGCAUUUCGGUGUGUAAACUGCUGUUCGGGGGGACGAAGCACUGACGGUACCCCCGGAGGAAGGCCCGGCUAACUACGUGCCAGCAGCCGCGGUAAUACGGAGGGGCCAAGCGUUGUCCGGAGUUACUGGGCGUAAAGCGUGCGCAGGCGGCUCGUUGCGCCCGACGUGAAAGCCCCCGGCUCAACCGGGGAGGGUCGUCGGGGACGGGCGAGCUUGAGGGUGUCAGGGGCUGGUGGAACUCCCGGUGUAGUGGUGAAAUGCGUAGAGAUCGGGAAGAACACCCGUGGCGAAGGCGGCCAGCUGGGACACACCUGACGCUGAGGCACGAAGGCGUGGGGAGCGAACGGG
rnacentral:rRNA from 1 species